AGAGCGAACGUUUGCGGCGGGCCUAACACAUGCAAGUCGAACGCACUAGCAAUAGUGAGUGGCGCACGGGUGCGUAACACGUGGGUAAUCAACCCUUCAGCUUGGGAUAACGACUUGAAAGGGUCGCUAAUACCGGAUACGGCGCGGGAGGCUUCGGCUUCUCACGAGAAAGCCUCGCAAGGGGCACUGAAGGACGAGCCUGCGGCCCAUCAGCUAGUUGGUGAGGUAAGAGCUCACCAAGGCGAAGACGGGUAGCUGGUCUGAGAGGAUGAUCAGCCACACUGGAACUGAGACACGGUCCAGACUCCUACGGGAGGCAGCAGUGGGGAAUAUUGCGCAAUGGGCGAAAGCCUGACGCAGCCACGCCGCGUGAGCGAUGAAGGCCUUCGGGUCGUAAAGCUCUGUGGGGAGAGACGAAGAAAGCCCGUGAAGAGCGGGCCUUGACGGUAUCUCCUUAGCAAGCACCGGCUAACUCCGUG
rnacentral:rRNA from 1 species